UUUACCAAAAAAAAGAAAAAAAAAAACUACAUCCAAACUCAUACAGAGAUCCUCCAAUGCAGAACUCAGCAGGUAUAACAAACAAAUUGCAAAAAAU